CAGGAACACACCGUCCAGUCAGUGCUGUGGAUGAUAUUUGUAAAAUGAUUUGAGAAACAAGGAACAGUUUCCCAUAUUAGACAAGUUCCUGAUUUAGGUUUCUGCCUUGAGUCCCUGCUUCAACUUCCCUAGAUGGUGGCUUGUAACCGGUCAGCCAAAGAAACCCUUUCCUCCCUAAAGUUGCUGCGGAUCCUGUUGUUUAUCACAACAGAAAUUGAGCUAUGAAUCUGCAGGCUCUGGACUAUGGCAUGGGAGUAUUUUCAAGUGUCACCACCUGAAGAGAGACUGACCUCUCAUUAUCUGCUGAAGAACUUGGCAGCAUCGAACAUGGCGGAAGGCGUCUGUUAGGGUUUGUAAGUGAAAGUUCCCCACUGGUUCAUGCAGAUUCUGGCACUUUUGGAAUGUUGUAGAAAUUUUAAUACCUGGGGUCUCAUUCAAGGAAAUAGGUCACUGGUGGGUAGGCCUUUAAAGAUUUUCAGCUGGGCCUUAGUUCUGGGCCAACUUCUCUGUUUCCUGAUUGGCUAAGAUGUAAGUGAGCAGUAUCAUCGUGUUCCUGCAGCUAUGGUAACAAGCCUCCAGGAUAGAUUGUUCUAUCUCAGACCAUGAGCCAAAAAAUUCCUUCCUCCAUAAGUGUUUUUUUUUAAGUUAUUUUAACAGCAAUGAGAAAAAAAUAAUAAAUAUAGCAUCAAAUGUGUAAGAGAAAGUACAACAAACCAGUCAACAAACAGAAACACCAAGCUACAAAAUAACAACACAAGCACACAAAAAAACAAGGAGUUUGUUUGGUAUUGUCCAGUUUCCUGAGCAUAGGGCCUGCCCUGAGUGUGGUUAAUAGACUCAGUGCCAGUCCUUUGGAGAAAACUGAUUUUUCCCUCUCUCAGAAAGUAGCAAUUGCAAAUAGCUUCUUGGUUAGGGGUAAGACUGUACAAUGUACAUAGAGUGAGAGACCUUGGAGCACUCAGCCUUAAAUUAGAUGUCUGUAUCAGACCCUUCCCUUCAGGACUCAGGGAUCCAUGUGGAAGGGGAGGCAGAAAGAUUAUAAGAGCAGGGCCCAAAUACAUAUGAAUUCACAGAGACUGUGAAAACAUCAGUUUUACAUUUUUUCACUCACAUCUACAUUAAGUGGGACUGUGUCAAUUCUUCCCUUAAUCGUCAAGUGAUUCUGAGUCUUCAGGGUGUCUCCCAGAAACUCAUGAAUGACUCAUUUAGAUGAAAAUGAAUGAUUCAUCAAUAUAUUAACAUAGGAU